CAGACUUUAGAUGAAGAUGUAGAAUUCUCAGCCCUGCCUGCACCAUGCCUGCCUAAAUGCUGCCCUAUUCUGACCUUGAUGAUGAUGGACUGAACCUCUGAACCUCAAUGAUUUAUGAAGUUCCUUCCAUGAACCAAGCAAUAUUCUGGGAGCUCUUGAUGUCAAGGAGUAUACAUAAAAAUGAAAGGAACAGGAUGCUAAAUGCAGCUUUAGUCAGCGCUGUUUAAGAGGCUAUAUAUUUAAGUGUGGGGCCCUGCACACCAGACACCGCCGAAAACUGAAGGGACCGACCAGACAAACAAUUCUCUGCACCCAAAUCCCGUGGGAGGAAGAGCUAAACCUUCAGAGAGGCAGAAAGGCCUAGGAAGCCAGAAGAGACUACACUCUGCCCACAUUUCUGACUCCAGGAGAAAACACCAAACACCAUCUGGAACCUUGGUGCACAGGGGCUCCCAGAGAAGGCAGCACAGGUCCCCCUGGUUGCUGCCCUCACGGAGAGCUCAUAAGCAACACCUCACGAGCAAACUUGAGCCUCGGGACCACAGAUGUCUGUAAACAUAUGUUUUUAUGGAAAAAUCACAAUGGACUGGCGAACAGCUUUAUUCUAUGCUACCCUGGCUUUGAUUAAACAAAUAUACCAUAAAUAAAUAAAA